rnacentral:rRNA from 1 species
AGUGAACGCUGGCGGUAGGCCUAACACAUGCAAGUCGAACGGCAGCACAGUAAGUGCUUGCUCUUACGGGUGGCGAGUGGCGGACGGGUGAGGUAUACAUCGGAUUCUACUUUUUCGUGGGUGUUAACGUAGGUUAUCUUACUCUAUUACCGCAUACGUCCUACGGCUGAAAGCAGGUGAUCUUCUGACCUUUCCCCUUUCUAUUAUCCGAGUUCGGUUUUGCUUGUGGGCGGGGUAAAGGCCCCCCAAGUCGACGAUCCGUAGCUGGUCUGAGAGGAUGAUCAGCCACACUGGAACUGAGACACGGUCCAGACUCCUACGGGAGGCAGCAGUGGGGAAUAGUGGACAAUGGGCGGAAGCAUGAUCCAGCAAUACCGCGUGGGUGAAGAAGGACUUCGGGUUGUAAAGCCAUUUUGUUGGGAAAGAAAAGCAGCAGGUUAAUACCACGCUGUUGUGACGGUACCCAAAGAAUAAGCACCGGCUAACUUCGUG